GUGCUUGCUUCAGCAGCACAUAUACUAAAAUUGGAAUGCUGCAGAGAUUAGCAUGGCCCCUGCAUGAGGAUGACAUGCAAAUUUGUGAAGCAUUCCAUUUUUAA